GUUCAUGUCAGCAGGACAGCUACUAAAAUCAGGAUAAUACAGUGAUGACGAACUUGACCCUUGUACAGGGAUGACACAUCCAUUUUUGAAGCAUUCUGUACUUUU